UGCCAGCCGCCGCGGUAAUACGUAGGGUGCAAGCGUUGUUCGGAUUUAUUGGGCGUAAAGCGCGCGCAGGCGGAUCGGUAAGUCAGAUGUGAAAUCUCGGGGCCCAACCCCGAAACUGCGUCUGAAACUGCCGAUCUAGAAUCUCGGAGAGGGAAGGGGAAUUUCGCAUGUAGGGGUAAAAUCCGUAGAGAUGCGAAGGAACAUCAGAGGCGAAGGCGGCUUUCUGGACCGAUACUGACGCUGAGACGCGAAAGCGUGGGGAGCAAACAGGAUUAGAUA
rnacentral:rRNA from 1 species